rnacentral:lncRNA from 1 species
AUACGGAACGUCCCAAGCUGAGAGUCAGGGCGGACCUGGACUCGGCGCGCCUAGCUCCUCGGCUCCCUUUGCGGGGACUCCAGGAGUCUGCCCGCUCGCGCCGUUUCGUCCUGUCACCCCGGCAACGGGACCCUCUAAGAGGCUUGUUCCAAAAAUGUUCACAAUGGGGUUUUUAAAAACGGUUUUGUUAGGGACAAGUGCUUGUGUGAGUCCUCCGACAAUGCCUGCUUUCUUCUCUCUGCCCGCGGAGCGGAGGCUCCAGGCCUGGCCCCAGUCCGAGGCGCCUCUGUCGGUGUCGUCCUGCUUCCAAAACCGGCCUCCAGAACCCGCCUCCUUCCAGAACCUCCGUCCAGAACCCGCCUCCCUCCAGAACCUCCGUACAGAACCCACAUCCUUCUAGCACCUGCCUCUGGAACCCACGUGCUUUCAGAACUACCUGUUUGUAGAACUUGUUUCCAGAACGAACCUGCUUUCCGAAUCUCUUUACUUCCAGAGCUUGUUUCCUGGACUGACCUAUUUUCAGAACCUACUUUCAAAACCAGCUUGCCUCCAGGACCACCUGCUUGGAGAACUGGCCUGCAGCCCCAGGACUGGACGACCUGAGACUGCACAGCUCCCUGCGGGGCUCACCCGGCUGUGUGUGUCCUUCCGGGCCUUCCAUACUUCCCUAGGUGUCUGGUGACUCCGGAGCCCGCUCGGAUUUCGUGUGGGUCUCGCCUCAGCUCAGAACACACCCUUUGAAGAGCAGGAAGGCCAGGGCACAGGCGGUAACCACGGCUCCUGGUCAUCAAGUUCCUCUGAAGCCCAGGUCUUGUCCACGUUCACUGCCCCACCACAGGCCCAGCGGAGCCUUGGAGCUGAGCCCUGGGAUCAUUCUGGUGCCUGUGCUCCCGGCUCCGCAACAAGCACACAGGAGCCUGUCAUCCCCAGAUCUAAAUCCUGAAGGCUAAGCUCCGUGGUCUGCCGCAGCCAUCUGCAGCAGGCCCCUCCCAGCAACAGCCUUCUCAUAAGGCCCCUGCCAGCCACGCGAAACCUCCUGGCUAGGGCCUGUCUUCCACUCCUGGCCUUUUGAGACAGGGCCUCACUCUGUUCCCCAGGCCGGAGUGCAGUGGUACGAUCACAGCUCACUGCAGCCUCCACCUCCUGGGCUCAUGUGAUCCUCCCACCUCAGCCUCCUGAAUAGCUGGGACUACAGGCUUGCACCACCACACCCGGCUAAUUUUUGUAUAUUUUGUAGAGACAGGGUUUCGCCACAUUGCCCAGGCCCAGGCUGGUCUCAAACUUCUGGGCUCAAGCAAUUCAUCUGCCUCAACCUCCCAAAAGUGCUGGAUUACAGGGAUGAGCCACCAUACCCGGCUUUUUUUUUUCUUUCUCCUGGCCUUUUGGGGCCCUUGAAGUGUCUGCUCCCUGGGAGCCCUUCAGCUUGUCGUCCACUUGGUGGGUUCCCACCCGUCCUUCUCACUUCUGCCUGAAUCACACAGGCUACAUGAGACCUUCACCCACCCCCUUCGCCAGCAGCUCUGUGGUUCAAGUUUCCUCAAGGUUAGGGGCUCCUGGCCAUCUUACCUGUGGGCCUGAGCAUGGGCCGAUGCUUCCAAAGUUCACACUGGGUGCACUUGUGUGGGGACUUCCAUGUGAGUCAUCUCCUUGCAGGCUGCCAAGGUCCUGUACAGCAGAGACCCAAACCCUCUUAGCAGUCUUCAGAGUCAGCUAUGUGUACAGGAGGCAUUACCAUAUCAGUGACUGUCAGCAAGCAUGUGUGACUGAAAUGGUAUCCAGUUCUUACGUAUUUGUUUUGCAGGCUUCUUGGUUCAGCAGACAGAGGCCAUUGGGAAGUUAAGAGAGGCUCUCAAACUUUGAGGGUCAUAAGACUUCCCCUCCCUGCAGGGUGCUGUUUCCUGAAGGAAAAUAUUCAAUUACUAUUUUCUUUAUUUAUUUAUUGAGAUGGAGUCUUGCUCUUGUCGCCCAGGCUGGAGUGUGUGCGUGUGCGUGUGUGCGUGUGCGUGUGUGUGCGUGCAUAUGUGCGUGUGUGCGUGUGUGUGUGUGUGUGUGUGUGUUGGAGGGGGGUGGUGCUGCCUUUUUCUUUGCAUGCUUCUGUGUUACUGGAUUUGGCACAGCAAGAAUGUAUCACUGCACUCAAAAAAUUUAGAGUUUCCUUUUUGUUUUUUUAAAUUAUUUUAGAUUUGGAGGUACAUGUGUGGGUUUGUUACAUGUGUAUUGUGCACUUCUGAAGUUUAAAAAUUUAGGGGGAAAAAUGAAAGGAUGGGAGGUGAGAAAGUAGAGGAGAAUUUUGGUGUGACAGGCAGGGAACUGGACAGCGGCGGGAGGGGCACGGCAGUGAGCGCCGGGACCUUUUGCAGAUGAGGUGAUAAUUGCUGAUGGGGCUGCUUUAUGCUCGUUUUCUCUUUUGUAAUUUAUAAAGAAAAAAAAAUUGAGACAGGGUUUCGCCCUGUUGCCCAGGCUGGUCUUGAACUUCUGAGCUCCAGUGAUCUGCCUGCCUUGGCCUCCCAAAGUGUUGGGAUUAUAGGUGUGAGCCACUGUGACUGGCCUUUUUUUUUUUUUUUGAGACAGGGUGGCUCUCUGUCGCCCAGGCUGGAGUGCAGUGGUGUGAUCACAGCUCACUUCACUGCAGCCUCAACCUCCUAGGCUCAGGCAAUCCUCCCACCUCGGUCUCCCAAGUAGCAGGGACCGCUUGCAUGCGCCACCACAUCCAGAUAACUUUUGUAUUUUUUGUAGAGAUGGGGUCUCGCUAUGUUGCCCAGGCUUGUCUCAAACUCUGGGCUCAAGCAAUUGGCCCACCUUGGCCUCCCAAAGUGCUGGGAUUACAGGUGUGAGCCGCUGUGCCUGGCCUGCUUUAUGCUUUUAUAUGGACCAGUACUUUGCAAGUGUGAGCCUGGCAGACUCUUGCUGCAACCAGGAACAUGCAGAUUUUCCAGAUGGGCAGGAACCUGGGCUCCUUUCUGAGCCUCCACAUGUCCUGGGUGAAGACCUCAAGGUCUGGAGAGACUGACUGACUCACCCAAGGCCCAAUGGCUGUGAGCGGGAAGCCAGGACUCCUCACAGCGCCAGCUUCUUCCAUGCAUGCCAGCCCAUCUGCAGAGCCCGGUCAAGCUCAGGGGAACGCCACCACUGAACCAGAGAGGCAGCCAGGAGGAGGGGGUCUAGAUAGAGAAAUGUGGAAAAAGCAGCUGAUUCCAGAAAUUUCCUGCUUGGCCUGGAUUAGGCCAUGCUGGGGACUGGCUGCCCCUUGCCCAGUGGGUGCUGGGGCAUUCAGGCUUGGGGUCUUUUAGGUCAGCCCUAAAAGUUGAUGAUUUGAUGCUGAUCGCUGGUACUUACUUCAGCUUUCCUUCUGGUUGGAAGCCUUAAUUAGUGGAGGUUGCUGACACUGUUUAUGCGCAUCGGUAUUUUUUUAGAAUGUGGAGUGGAAGAGGUGGGCUUUGGGGGACUGGCUAAACCCCAAGAAUUUAACUGGCCGUGUAUUUUGGCCACUGUUGCGCCUGUUAAGAUCUUGGAGUGUGGGUUUGCACCUGUAUUUAGAGGUGCACAAACCCACACAAAUUCAAGGAUAAAUAACUGCAAGGCCCGAAGAGAACACGCUCUCCCGCUGCACGCAGGCUGCUCAACUGUGAUGAAUGGAGUAACAGGUACCACAGGGCGAGCAGGACGCCUUCAUCAAUGGUGGUAAUAGCCACCAAUGCAUCAUCUGUGGAGGCAACAGGAGGGACGGCUGGGGCAGAAUCAACAGAACGUGAAAAUGAAUUGUUUGUAAAUACAAUCAACAGUGUUAUGUUCGUGAGAAAGCCAUUCAUCAUUCAGAAACCACCUUUAGUAAAAGAUGCACCUGGCUUCCCGGUGAGACGGGGCCAUCAAUCCCUCCCCAGUCACAGGGUCAGCUCGGGGCUGCCUAAACCCCCAGAGAACAGACACACAUAUUUAUUCUUAUUUGAAAAUAAGAGUUGUUAAAAAAAAAAAAGAGCCACUGAGAACAUUAGCUUGCCGGGAGCAUGGUAGAAGGAGCCACAUGGGGACAAAGAGAGCUCUUUAAAGCCCUCAUCUUCUGGGUGCCCUGCCAGGCCCUGGUGGGGCCUCCGUAAGCAAGGAGCACCCAGCCUGCUCUGGGACCUUCCCGGGCUGUGUGUGCUUAUGUCCCUCCCGGCCGCUGAGGGACCUUCCCAGGCUGUGGGUGCUCAUGUCCCUCCUGGGUGCUGAGUGUGCUUAGGGAGGGAGGGAGGGAGACGCCCAUGGUUGGCCUGCUGGCUUCUGGAGAACUGCACUUUUCUGGCAAAUAAAAAGAAAAGGAUAUGGGGAAGGGGAACACAUGAUUGUCCUUGGAAUGUGGCAGAGUGGCCUGCUGUGGACUUUCCUCUGGUUGCCAGUUUCAUUCUUAGGACAGUGCCUUGGUGAGGGUGCCCCGGGCACAGCACACUGGGUUUCUGCAGUGGGCACUUACUGGCACUGAUCCCAGCAGCUGGAUGCACCUGUGGCGUGUUUUAUACAACUGAAGCGACCAUGGCCUUCUGUGGUCCAGCCUGGUGCAGAGCCCACCGCCAUAGAGCAGUGAUACUGGAACGUGUGUGAGGGUUGCCGGUGGGUUCCACGGGGCGGUGGGAGGAAGAGGUGUAGAGGACUCCGACACUGUUUUGGCCUUGGCAGCUCAGAGAUGGCUGGUGUGACCACCAUACGGGGACGGUUUGGGAGGAGGAGGUUUCGGCAGGCAGAGCCUUGGGUUUGGGAUGCUGGGCUGGAGCUUCUCUCACACAGCUCAGGGGAAGGGUCCUGAAGGCUGCCGAGUCUCCAGCUCAGGGGCCAGGCUGGAGGCCAAGGUCCACACUGUAGACGUCUUUGCUAUACAGUUGCUGGGGACAGAGUGCCAGGAUAGUUCACGACAGUGGGCCCAAGGAGGAGGGCAACAGAAACAGGGUCAGGUGGCCCCCAGGAGCUCAGGGAGGAACCAGUUCCAAGGGAAGCCAGUGACCAACACAUGCGCCAUCCUGCGCCAUUGACAGCAAGACCAGGCUGCCAAGAGUGGAGGAGGCUGGUGGAGACCCUGUUGGAAGUGGUCUCAGGGGGCUUUGAGAGUGAGACCUUUUCUUUUUGAGACAGGCUGUCUCAUUCUGUUGCCCAGGCUGGAGUGCAGUGGUGUGAUCACAGCUCACUGCAGUCUUGAACUCCUGGGCUCAAACAAUCCUCCUGCCUCAGCCUCCCAAGCAGCUGGGAUUACAGGCAUGAGAAACCAUGCCUGGCUCAUUUUUGUAUUUUUUGUAGAGACAGGGUCUCCCCAUAUUGCCUAGGCUGGUCUCGAACUCCUGGGCUCAAGUGAUCCGCCAGCCUCAUGAAAGUGUUGAGAUUACAGGCAUGAGCCACUGCACCCAGCCAAAGAAUGAGAGUGCUUCAACGGGGAUUAAGGUGAGUCAGAAGAGCAGAGACGGCCAUAGGGAGUGGGCACAUUUGAAUUCUGAGGACAGGUGCAGUACUGUUUGUGGGGCCAGGGGAGGGCUGAUGGGUGGCUGGCACUUAAUAGGGGGCGUGAAGUGUUCAACCACGGUAACAGGAGAGAAGAUGGAGGGGAGCAGAGGUUUGGUGGGUGGGGGGCACAGGCGGGACAGAUGCCGUGUUGGGAGUGUGGGGUACCUCUGUGGAUUGUCCCCAGGUGUCAGUGACACAGGAAGCAAGGCCUCUGCCCAGAGUGGCCAGGGAGGGGAAGCGGGCAGGACGGGCUGAGGACAGGGGCCGGGGCCCAGCCGAGGUACAUGGAGGCUCAGAAGACCGAAGGCUGGGCUGGACCAGGGCUUAAAGGGAAGGAGAGGGGCAAGGGCCAGCCCCGUGGUGGCUCAGAUGAGGAUUGUGUCUCGCUGAAGUAUUGUGAUGCACACAAGAAAAACGUUCUUUUUUAAAAAUAUUUUAUUUAAUUUUGAGACGGAGUCUUGCGGCCGGGCAUCAUGGCUCACGCCUGUAAUCCCAGCACUUUGGGAGGCUGAGGCGGGCAGAUCACGAGAUCAGGAGAUCGAGACCAUCCUGGCCAACGUGGUGAAACUGCGUC